rnacentral:rRNA from 1 species
CCUACGGGAGGCAGCAGUGAGGAAUAUUGGGCAAUGGGCGCAAGCCUGACCCAGCAACGCCGCGUGAAGGAAGAAGGCUUUCGGGUUGUAAACUUCUUUUCUCAAGGGCGAAGCAAGUGACGGUACCUGAGGAAUAAGCCACAGCUAACUACGUGCCAGCAGCCGCGGGAAUACGUAGGUGGCAAGCGUUAUCCGGAUUUAAUGGGUGGAAAGGGCGUGUAGGCGGGACUGCAAGUCAGAUGUGAAAACCACGGGCUCAACCUGUGGCCUGCAUUUGAACCUGUAGUUCUUGAGUACUGGAGAGGCAGACGGAAUUCGUAGUGUAGCGGUGAAAUGCGUAGAUAUUAGGAGGAACACCAGUGGCGAAGGCGGUCUGCUGGACAGCAACUGACGCUGAGGCGCGAAAGCGUGGGGAGCAAACAGGAUUAGAUACCCUUGUAGUC